GAAAAGGCCCAGGGCUCUGUUUAUAUGUAAUUGACAUACCAUAUAACUUAGUAUCUGAACAAGACGUUCCGGAGAGCGGAACGGGGCGCUGCCUAUCACACUGGGACCAGCAGUGGCCCAGGCAGAUCUGAAAGGUGAUGACCAGAGCCUCUCCCAGCCCUGACCCCUGAGACCCGGUGAGAAGACCUCUUGGACGGAAGUCACAGGUGGUUGUGACCGUCAGCACCAGGUGUCCGCUUGGCCAGGCGAUCGCCCCCAGAGAUCCAACCACACACACCCAGGUGUGGCUGGGCAGGUGUCUCGCGGAGCUGAGGAACUCCCACAGCCAGUGGCUUUAAGUGCAGAUCAGCCUCAGUAUGCAGGUGGCCUCCUCCAACCAGCGGGAAGAUCUUCAGAGAAGAGCAGGCUUCUCGGAGGAAGAAGAAAUUCUGCUUCAGCUCCUGCCCGAGAUGGCCCUGCGGAUUUCAGCCUCGCCCAGCCAGCCCGCACCAUCAUAUGUGGGGCCCAGUUCCUCCUCCCCUGACUCUGGGCUGGCCAGGAUGACUCGCUUGUAACCAACGGAAUACGGUGGAAGGGACACUGCCCGAGUCAGGCCAGGCCGGAGGCUAUGCAGAUCCGCCUGGCUCUCAUGGGACACCAGCUCUCUGGACACUCUAUCCCGGGAACCCCCCUCUCCAGAUGCUGCCGCCGUGCCGUGGGAAGCCCGAGCCGUGUGAGAGGCCACGUGGAGGUUCUGGUGACAGGCACAGCGGAGCCGGCCCGCUGAGUCCCUCAGCCCAGGACCCGACAUACAGAGACACUCACCACCGGAUCCAGGGCUCCCCUAAGUCCAAGUGGCCUCAUCUAGAGAUCCUUUACUAGUGACACCUGUGAAGACUCUAUUUCCAAACAAGGUCACACGGGCAGUUCUGGGCGGACACAAAUUUGGGGGACACUAUUCUCCACAGGACGAGAGUGCUGACUUUCCAUAGUUCUGUGGCAUUGAGGAAAGGCAGGCCUUUCUGUGAUCAUCCAACCAUAUAACGGGCUUUUCUCUCUCCGCUGCGUUUUCAACACCCUGAACGCGUGCUCUGGACGUCCUCGAACGUCAUUCCUGUAAAGACCAGGGUGGAGGGUAACGAACAUUCCAUCUAUUAAUUUCUGUACAAAUAGUCUUUAGCUGAUUCUGGCCUGAGCAUCUGAGCUCUGUUCAUUUGCAGCUUGUUCAGCCGAGCGUCGGGUCACCAAAACCUUUAUCAGCUGGACAGACAGAAAGGAGAGGAAACAAAGGCGGGGCCUCUCCCAGCUUUUCCUAGAAAAUAUUAUUGUUUUCUUUGUGCAGCUGAGUCACCAGUGACCACGGGGCCAUCUGAGUCCACAGCAAGAGGCACAGGAGGAUCUUUGGAGUUUGGGGAAGGACAUUGGCAUUUUGCCCGAGAACACCUGCACAGGAUGCAUUCCCAGGCCCACACUCAGAGAAAACUGUGGGUGCCUUCCUAGCCUUGAGGCAGCUCACCCCAAAGGCCGUCUGAGAAGGAUGUUAGCCCACUGGCCCCCUUUCUGCGUGUUUAAGGAGAGUCAGCUGGGGCCUGCGUUUCUCCCGGCUGGCUGAGUGCUGUGAGUCGGUGCACCCUUACUGAACGCGCUGUGUCCUGACCACCCGCCUGGCUGCCCCAAUGGCCUCAGAGGUCAUGCAGGUGCCGAGGGUAGGGCACGCAGGGCGAGCUCUUGUGCAACCGGGUGCAAAGCCAUGGGUAGGAUGGAGAAAGGACGCUGGCAGUGUGCGCGGAGCAAAGGGGAUCAGAUGAUCUGACAGGGAAACCCGUUUAUGCAGGAAAUUCUCUCACCAAGCACUGAGGACAGAAACUCAAGGAGCCUCCUUCAUGCUAAUAUGCAGGCUUUGUGGAUUUCAGAAAUAAUUUAUGCUACAUUAUCUCGGCCACGGAUUCUAGAAAACAACUGAUGACAUUAGAAAAGUGGAAGCCUGUCUAAUGUGAUGAGGUGUUAAUGCAAAGACCGAAACCUUUCAUUCCAAGUUAAAAGCACAGAAGUGUGCCCUCAUUCGCCCAUAGUCCGAGGCAGGGAGCAGUCCUUUUCUUUGAGCGUGUGCCCUCUCGUAGGUGUUUCACUUCUCUUUGUCGCAUAACCACGUCCAAAAGUCACCUGUGAGAUUUCACGCGUCUGUGUAUUCAAAGGGCAGCGAGAAGGCGGAGGCAUCUCUGAAACGACCUGAGCACAGGAAACUUUUCUGCAUCUUGAGAUUCAUCGCUUAAAUAUUUCAGCUGCCUGGUCCACAUUUACUCGGAAGGCAAUGUGGGGGGACCCGCUUUUAUCAAAUCUUCCCCAAGCAUUCCAAGUAUUUUCCACAGGAACCGUCUUCCACUCAUGUCUCUCUGGCUGAGAGUAUGUUUCGUUGAAUCACACACUGACGGUCACAGACACGCACGAAGAGGAUUGGGAACUGACACUCGCUGCUUUGGGAGGCGCGUGUGGGUGGGUCAGCCCCUUUCAUGGAGGGAGGGCAGCGUCCUCCGAACCUUCCAGUCAGAACAGCCGCCGACUGAGUUUCCCAGCAACUCCUCCCUCCUGCCCUUCCAGGAGAAGAAUGGAGAUGCCCAACCAUAGAAAAUCCAAAUCCGUUUCCCCGUCUGCAAGAGGUGGCUGAGGACACGGUGCUCACCUCUCAGGAUUGUCCUGAUCACGAGGCAGCCGACACAUAUCAAGUCUCCAGGGUCCAGCCCGGCACACCACAGAACGUGCUCCUUAUAAGCUAGCGGGGGUCACAGUCAAACGCAUACUCUGAAACUAAAUACCUGCCUUCCAGAUUUUCCAAUUGCUCAGUUUGUUCCACUGAACUUUCUCCUUGCGUGCACUUGUGUGUGCAUGUGUGUGUGCACACUUGGCUGUCCACUGCACCUCCCAUCUCUCUACAUGCCCUCGAAUUGCAGUCAUGGGUCUUGCUACACACACAGACUGCAGGAUAAGCUAAGCAGAAAUCCCAAACCAGCAGCCCUGAGGACAAGUCUGGCCCACAGAUGUGUUCUGUUUGCUCAGAUGACCCAGGCUGGCCCAGGACGAGCUUUCCUCGGAAUCAGAGGCCAGUGUCCCCGCAGACCUCGGGAGGCCAGGGCUUGGGAGGUGCUGUGCUCCUCGAUUCCAUCACCUGCUUCUGUGCAGCCCCCCGAUCAGGCUCCAACUCUCAUCCGCAGCCGAGGAGGGACGCAUCCGCGGCCGGCGGUAACGAGGGAGGGAUGCAGAGGAAGCAGGGUGCCCACACUCAGCAGGGUGCCGUCAAGUGGCCUCUGGGCUGGGGCCUCUCCGCGUGGUCCCCCUUCUUCCCGAGCAUCUCUCAGGUCCUGGAACACAGUCCCGCAGCCCCCUCGCUGGCGGUCUGUGUCUUUCCUCUGCCGGCGUUCCUGGUGGUACAGCGUCCGGGCCCUCAAGAGCGAGGUUAAAGAACAAGUAACACAUCUUGGAGCCCAAGGGCAGGUACUCGGGAAACCACUUGGGC
rnacentral:lncRNA from 1 species